rnacentral:tRNA from 1 species
GCCCCUGUAGUUCAGUGGAUCAGAACAGUGGGUUUCUAACCCAUAUGCGAAAGUUCGACUCUUUCCAGGGGUG